GAGGAAUAUUGGUCAAUGGGCGCAAGCCUGAACCAGCCAUCCCGCGUGAAGGAUGAAGGCCCUAUGGGUCGUAAACUUCUUUUAUAUGCCAAGAAAACGACCUACGAGUAGGUUUUUGACGGUAGUAUAUGAAUAAGCAUCGGCUAACUCCGUGCCAGCAGCCGCGGUAAUACGGAGGAUGCGGGCGUUAUCCGGAUUCAUUGGGUUUAAAGGGUGCGUAGGCGGUUUUUUAAGUCAGUGGUGAAAUCCUGCGGCUCAACCGUAGAACUGCCAUUGAAACUGAAGAACUUGAAUAUAAUUGAGGUAGGCGGAAUGAGUAGUGUAGCGGUGAAAUGCUUAGAUAUUACUCAGAACACCAAUUGCGAAGGCAGCUUACCAAGCUAUAAUUGACGCUGAGGCACGAAAGCGUGGGGAUCGAAC
rnacentral:rRNA from 1 species